UGUUAUGGGAACUUUGAGAUUGGC
rnacentral:piRNA from 1 species